AAUCAAAUGAUAAGAGUGCUUAGUUCUUUUUUUCUUCCCCUGUUUGCUAGUGAUAUGUUAUUGAGAUUUUUAUUUUAGCUCUAUGUAUUUCUUGAUUAAACUCCAUUAUUAUGGGACAAAUCAAGAUUAAUUUAUACAUACCUAUUUACACACAAGAUAUUUAUGAAAGCUUUCAUUUUAUAUGGAUGAAGAGAAUUUGUAUUAGUAUACAAAAUUUUAUAACAAUCUGGAACUAAUUAUUACUAAAUCUGUCAGUUUUAUAGCCAACAAUUACCUAAUCAGGCUAAUGUGAAUGCAGAGUACAGAUUUUUCUCAAUUUUUUGUGAUAUGAAAAUGAUCAAAUUUUGUUGAGAGACACUUAUUAGCUUAUAUAGUUGAAUAUUACCCUGUGUAUUAUUUGAAAGUUUUAUUAACAUUUUCAUAUUCUAUUAGAGAAAAUCAAAUAUGUAGUGCAGCAUCUUUCAAGAAUUUUAUGACACUUGAUAGCUUUGCUAUAACAAAUGUUUUUUGAACAAAUUUAUUGUUGUAGCUUAUAAGAAUUUUUCAAUCAAUUUUUUUCUUACAAUUUUUUCUUAUUGAUGUAUUGUCAUAUUUAUUUAUUGUAAUCUUGUGUACUUUGUUAUCGUAAUACAUUGAUAUUCCAAAAAUACCUAAUUAAAUAUUUUUUU
rnacentral:sRNA from 1 species